rnacentral:lncRNA from 1 species
UCUUCCUCUCUCUUGUAAUUUAUUUGUAACACAUGAAUUUAAAUAGAUUACAACAGUGGUGAAUUCAUAUCACUUUCAAAAGUUAUCUUCCUUUUUGAAAGUUAAUAUUUUAGCCAGUAAUUAAACAUAAUUAGUGACUUUGUGAUCAGAUGUUCAUUUUCUUCCACUUAGCCAACGGGCGGCAUGUGGUGAAUUAAAAUAGCAGGUGGAAUUUUAGAACAGGUGACAGGUUCCUGAGCACCCACGAAGGUUAGAUUCAGAUGAUGGGCGCAGCUUUUCUUUAGUAUAGCAGAAACCUUGGGAUGCCUGGGAUGAAGACAAGGGAGAGCAGAGUAGGCAGAGAGCAACUGCCACCGUAAAGCCUGGACAAGUCUCAGAGCGAUAAAUCUGUUCAUUUAGGGCCCAACAUGAGUUUUUCUUUCUGAGAAGUAUAGCCCAAGUUAUGCAAAUCUGUUAGAUAUGAAAUCGCUCUUACAAAACAGCAUUUGGAUGAGUCCCAAGUAAACAAAUCAGACCCACGCAGAUCAAAUUUUCAUUAAAAUGCAUGAUUUUAAGAAUGGGGUGGGGGAAGGAAGCUGAGAAAUCAAAGGUGACUUUAACUACAUCUUAAAUUCAGUUUUUGCCCCAAGUCUAUGUUCUAUACAGCUUUCUGUUUUUCUUUUUAAAACGCCGAUCCCACCAAAUAAGCUAAUUGCGCUGAUGACAGCACAUUUGGUAAACGGUGGCCUACAGACCUCAGACGGCUCCUCUCUGCCUUAGUUCAGAUUUCUGUGAGCACCACAAGGCUGAAGGGAUCCUCUAAUUAUGGGUGGGAUUAGUGCUCAAUAGCCGAUGUGUUGCUCUUCGUGGCUUGCAGCCCUCGUGGUUUCUCUGCUCCUUAUGGUCACUGUGGCCACCUAGAAAUUCUUUUCAGGAGCAUAAUAACCGGAUCAGCUGCUGCAGGCUGGAGCCCGGCGGAACAAAGGGAGGCGGAGGGUGCUCCCACCGGCCUCUGCCUGCUCACAGAUCCCAGCGGGCACCCCCGGGGUCACAGCAGACAAAACCAGAGUCCAGCCCCAUUUGAUAGGGCUCCAUCCCACACGACCCACUGCCCCUACUUAAGGUCUGGGGGAUAGGCUCCAACAGCGUGCACUAUUUGCCAACAAAAGUACUAGCAGUGGAAAGAAAUACACACCCAGGCACUACAACACACAGGAAGACUCCUCUUGUUCAGUUUUCCCUUUCAGCUAUUACUCCCUGGAAAUCUUGAAGAUAGCUGUGAGAAGUUUAUUACUAAGCAUCAGUUUUUAAUAUUAAUCUUGUACCAGGAUCAUUUUAAUAAUCAUUAACGAGGAAACAGGAGGUGGUGGGCAUUUAUUUUAUUGUCAAGUGAGGCAGUUUCUUGUUCUGUUCAUCAUUCUUGAAGCUUCUCUUGCACCACCCGUUCCCUGAUGCCACAGUGUGGAGAGGUUUUCCCUAAGCAGCAUCUGGUCCCCUUGGAGGAUUCCACAGGCUUUUUGUCUCUUUCAGGUUUUCAAUAGUGGCCUCUGGGGGCGCCGGGGGGAGGAACCAUCUGGCCAGGCGUCACCUGGCCAGUUGGGCCUGCCUGGCCUCACGCUGCUCAGCAUUCCUCUGCAUCAAAUGGCUCAGUGCCUGCCGGGGACCUGGUCAAGUGCUGGACAAUGGGCCACAGAGCUUAGCACUGAGCCAAGAAUGUAGUGUUAAUAAGAACACUUUUUAUUCACAAUAAGGACAGAUAAUAUAGUUUGAGAAUGUGGGAUACUAAGCAACAAAAUUGGGUUUCAAUGUUGAUUCAUUUAUCUCCUAGCUGCGUGGCCUUAGGUGACUUACUUCAGAGUUGUGCUUCUGCAAAAGAAGAAAAAUAAUAACAACUGGAUUGUUGUGAGGUAUUAAUGAGACUACCCAGAUAUAAACAGACAAGCAUGUUUGGCCCAUGUGCACAGCAAAUGCAUCAGAAAGCUGAUGUACCUGAAACCCAUAACUCAUACACGUUAGUGAAGAAAUGAAGAAAUAGCAGCUUCCUCACCCUGCACCAUCUCCCUGAGUUCCAGCAGGAUCCUCAACAGUUGCCCACAAUGAGAACUUGCUUGAUUACACACUCAUUAUUGGAUUUAGUCCCUUCCCUGUCUCACUUUGCUGCUUCUCUGUUGGUGCCUCCUGGGAUUAUCCCCGAAGUAAAUCAUACACACUACAGUCCUUAUCACAGGGCCUGCUUCUGGGAGAACCUACUGAAGACAAAACCCGCCGGCAUAGUCCAUGUGGGUCAGCCUCCCAUGGCAGAGAACAAGUGAAGAGAGGGUGCCUGGUCUGCUUCACACACUUCAGCUAGUAGUGUAAGCCUGGCAAUAACAAUUGUACAGUCGUUUCUUGAUUGUGUUCCUCUUUCACAACACUGCACAGUCAGCCACCCCAUUCCCUGAGGUUGACUUCUUGUGUUUAACUUUUUGACUUACUGGUAUCUACUGGGCCUUGGCACAGCAUUAUAUAUAUGUGUAGCAUUAUAUAUAUGUGUGUGUGGCUUCUGUAAGGAAUAGAUAGGAACCCAUUCUAGGUAAGAUGUGGGGUGAGUGGGGGGUAGGAAAUGGUAGAGUUGUAAAAAAGUAAAAUAUUAAUAAAAGUUGGAUGGCGUGUCUAAUAGAAAACAAAACCUUAGAACUUGAAUGAACACAUGUACAUUUCAAACCAUCAGUUAACAAUUGAGAGAGGGCUGGGAGGGUGAGGUCAAGAGAAAAAGGAAGCCUACUAAGCCUCCCUUAAAUUAAAAUAUAUAGGCAGUAAAUCCUCCCACCAAUACAAGAGGCCAGAUCUGCUGUAAAAACUAGAACCAGGUAUCCACAUGAAGUGAAAUCAAACCUGAUUUAUUGUAGCACAUCUGAACACUUCAGGUCCCAGUAAAAUCUCAGCAUAUUGUAUUAGAGUUAAAACGGAUUAGUAAAGGAUGAGAAGGGCUUCAAUAAAUUAUUUAUUAGAACACUAGUAACUUGAGGGCCUAUAAUGGGGACUGGCAUGUAGUUGGUACUUAGUAAAUAUUUAAUGUAUGGAUUGAUAGAUAGAUGAUUGGUUGAAUAGACAGGUUAGGAUAGCAGUAUAAAACCAAAAGGAACUUAACCGUACUCAUCCAUAAUCUUCUUUGUCCAAAACAAUCUUAACACUUUUCUCAUAGUGUGUGUGUGUGUAAGAUAUAUAUAUAUGCACAUACAUAGACACACACGUAUAUUACAUAAUAUUAAUAUAAAGUUGUUCCAUUGGCCAGAGCAAGCCACAUGGAUAAGCCCAGUGUUAAUGUAGGAGGGUGCAACAGAGUAUUUUACAAGGAAGCAUUCAUCGAUUAAAGCCAUGAUUACACCAAGAGAGGAGUCCCUCCUUUCUCCUGUGCAGUGAAGACUUCUGAGGCCUGAACCUACCACCUCAGGGUUCUUCACCUCCUGAAAGGCAGGAUGAGUUUCAUCCUGAAGGAGGUCUGGAUGGAGUGUCCAAAUGAUAAGUGAAUUUCUGGAAAACUAACCCAUACCUCCUGAAAUAGAAUUUCCAAGAAAGAGCCUCAAAAUCUCUAUUUUAAUUAAGCAUAGACAGGUGAGGGAGCAGGUACGUAUGCUUCUACAGGUUUCCAUUUCAAUACGGGAAUUAGGCCCAGUGAUUUUGAGGCUGAUUACAAGUGUCCCUUAUCUGUGUGAUCACUUAGUGUUGUUAACUGGCAUGUCUUUUACAGGAACAUCAAAGACCCUGAGAAGCCAAAAGUUAUGAAAUGCAUCAGCAGUGGGUUGAAGACAAGACCUCUCCUUUUCCUGCUGACAUUUCUUCCAUGAGCAGUACCCAGACAGCCGACAGAAAGAGCCCAGGAGGUAACUGGGGACAUGAGAUGAAAACUCAAGAUGCAAGGGUAUCCCAUCUUUUGGCUUCCUUGGGCCACAUUGGAAGAAGAAGAAUUAUCUUGGGCCAUGCAGGAAAUACACUAACAAUAACUGAUGAGCUAAAAAAAAUCACCAAAAAAUCUGAUAAUGUUUUAAGAAAGUUUACAAAUUUGUGUUAGGCCACAUUCAAAGCAAUCCUGGGCUGCCUGUGGCCUAUGGGCCACGGGCUGGACACGCUUGCAAGGGAGAGGACAGAUAAAGAUACGUAUGAGAGCAUCCUCCUUAGAGAAAGGUCAGUGUUGAAGUCAUAGGGUAAGGGAACUCUUUCAAAAGAAAGUAAAAAAAAAAAAAAAAGAUAGCGAAGUAAAUCAUGUGAAGUCUCUACAGAGUAAGGGCCAAAGGGAGGACACAGUAGCUUAAAAUCACAAUAUUGUUUUUGUUCCUAUUUUUGUUUUUCUCAUAAAGCUACAGGUCAGCUGGACAGCUCGCUCUUGGGUCCUCACAAAGCUACUGGUCAGCUGGGCAGCUCAGCUGGGUCCUCAUCAAUGAACCAGGGUUGGCUGAUUUUAGCUGGGCUCACUCAAUUUUCUAGAGUCCACUGGUCUGUCUGCUGCAGUGUGGCUGAUCUAGGACAGCCCUGGCCUUGGUGACCUGGCUCUGCUGCACGAUGCAGCCAUCCUCUAGCAGGCUAGCCUAUCACAGCAAAACAGAAGCACAAAAGAGAGAUCAGGAAAACGCAUAGCUUCUUAAGGCCUAGGCCCUAAACUGGUGCAUCACUUACUUCUUGGCAACAUUCUGGUGGCCAAAGGAAGUCACAUGUCCAACCCCAGACUCUAAAGGAGGGAAAAGAGACCCGAUGCCUUAAUGGGAGUAAAGUCACAUUGCAAAAGGCAAGGAUCCCAAAAAUGUUUCAAAAAAAAUUGGAGGCCAUCUUUGCAAUCAAAGUUAGAUUAUUCUCAAUGGUAAAAGUUGGAACCACAAUAUUAUUGUUACCUUCAAAGAGUACACCUAGCUGAAUCCCCCAGUCAAUGCAGGAAUUCCCCCAAAUUAAACACACACACACACACACACACAUACACAUAAACCCUCAAAGAUUCCCACAACUUGACCAUUUGACCUAGCUUUUCUCACUGGGUAAAAAAAGCAAGAGGGAAAAAAAAACCACUGCAGCUCUCUCCCACCCCUGCUGUUCAGCCUUCAGUUUAUCUGGCCUCUGCUAUGAGUCACAGCUGACUGAAGGGUGGGGGUGGGUUGUGAGUCAUGGCCUAAAACAAAGAUAGAAUUUGAUGGGGGUGGACGAGCAGGCGAGAGAGAAGACACGGCAAGUUCAGGCAUUCUCUCAGUGUUUAGGGUGAUGUCUUCUUUCCUGCAGCUGGGGAAGUUGGGCAGAGUGCCCCCGAAGGAGGAGAUUCCACACAGGCCCUGUGUAUCUGAGAGUUGAGUUGCUGAUUUCAGAGGUGUUUGUAUCAUUGCUCUAAAUGUGUUUCUGCUCCCCUCCCACCCAAGAUGCUGGUUCAACGGACCAUUUCAUCCUACCAUUAUACAGAACCCACAGGAGCUAGUUACCUGGUCAGUUUGAGAAGUUAAUAUUUAAAAAGACUAAUGGUUGCAUAUGGCUUCCACAGGAAAGAAAUAAUAAGCUAAUGUUAUCUAUUGACUCAAUCCCACAUAUAUUUACAUUUGACAACUUAAAAAAAAAACCUUCGGCUCAAUGAUAGUUUAGCUCAAGUCACUAUGUUAGGAUAUAUAUUUCUUUCAUCUAUGACUAUUUUUGUCUGCACAGUAACCUGCCUCAAGCACACAAAUAUUUGUGUGUCUGGCCUCAAGCAAUUAACGUGUCUCCUAACAUGAGAUAAAGAUUAAAUGAAAAUUCUGUCACCCUGAAAUAAACCUGGAAGCAGAAUUCCUGAAUGUUUGCCAAAUAAGGUGACUAUCAGACUUAAGAUGCUGAACUUUGAAAUGACUGUCAUAGAAACAAAGGCAAGGCAUGGUUGGCGCCCAUUCAACCUGGUCAAUAACAUCCUUAAUUACAGGACAUGGCAUCAUUUUGAUUCACAGUGGAAUAAAAGGCAUCUAUUUGUAUAUUUGGAAGUCUGAAUGAGGAUUUCCUGAUGAAGUCAUUUCUGUCUUACAACAGCUUCGCUUGUACCAGUAGAGUUAAAACUGGGUCACCAUUUUUAUGCGAGCGUAUGGAUACACAUACAUCCACACUCGAACCCCAAACACACACACACACACACACACACACUUCAUUUCAGAGUCUAAUUAAAACUCUAUUAUACAUAAUUUUCUUCCAGAUCAAUGGUGGUGUUGGAUCAAAAUUGUAGCUCACAAGGAAAAUCCUGUAAAGGAACCAUAUUUUUCUGUGUUGCCUGCCAAAAUGAGAACAUCAUUUGUUAAAUAAUGUGGGACACAGGUGCCCCGGAUGUACUAUUUAAUGGAGAAAGAAAAAGAGAGAAACAAUGGCUGCCAGUAUCCGGGAAAAAUGCGACUAGCUUCUUAAGCUUCUUCACCCAGAAAUUGUUACAAAUAGAAGGGAAUCUGACUUUGAGCUAUGAGUUGUUGCUUCCCCAUGACUGAAUUCCCCAAGAACUGAGUUAUUACUGACCUGUGAUUUGCUCAUCAUAAGGUCUCACUGUUAAUUACUGCUCUCUGCUCCGCAGAAACUUUGAAUUCCACCAAAGGGUGUGCCGAAGGCUUAGAUGUUGAGAAGCGUGAAUUCAUCCUGCACAACAAAUAUCAUAGAGAUGGGACUGGAGCGGGGGACAAGAAGGGGGAGAAUGAACAAGAUGCAUGUUGCAAAACCCCAAGGGGUGCUAUUUGUAUGGUAGCCUGAGUGAACAGCAAUUUCCCUGAGGGGUGGUUGCAGCAGAUACUGUGGGUACCAUCUCUACAUCUCUUACUCCUUACUCGUUCCUGCCUUACUCCUUCAGGGCAGAGCAGCCCAACUUACUCUUUGCCUAAGGACAGUCUCUGGUAUCUAAGUCUAGGUUAGCCACUCAUGGCAGGCCAGAUGAAUGAUUGCUAGGAGUCUUGCAUAUACACCCGGUUUCCUUGCCACUUGGAUAGGAUAAAGGUGCUUCACCCCAUUUUCCAGCAGUCUCCAGCAAGUCUAGGUUCCACUUGCUCACAGCAGUAGCUGAUUUUGUGAAACAUCCUUUCUGGGCUGCCUUCCUUUCUCUCUCUCCCUUUCCCUCUCCCAUCUCUGAUUUUCUUCUACUUCCCCCAAUAUAUUAAUAUUAUCUCAGGGAUGGCUUUUGGGAACCCCAAUCAAAGAAAGGAGCAAACUCAAUUAAGACCCUCUGUUUUAGGUAACUUUGGGAACCUGGUGGAGCAUCCUGACAUUACAUCCUGAACCAGAGUAUGUCUCAAGAUAUUUUUGGAUCCUGCUUUUGUGGAGACAGAAUCCACAACACAGCAGAGAGUUCCUCACUCCAAGAGGUACAUUCUUCUUACUGUCUGGUUCACUCCCUAGACACAUGCCAGCUUGACCAUCAUACAGAGCAGCCCCCAGGAUGAAGGCAAACUUCUAUCUGGAGUCUGAUCUUUCCAAGAUAGGGCUGAAUCAACUUAGCUCUUUUUUCUUGUGGCUCAUUGCUGCUUUCCAGAUUGAGAAUAGCCUCAGAUUUCUUUCUGGCUUCCAUAUACCAUGCAUCCUAUUGCUUUGCUUAUACUCUUACCCCCCAAUGUCAAAAUAGUCCUGAAGUGUAUACCAGAUCAUGUCACACAUAUGCAGAACUGAUCAUGUCAGUUCAACCUUGGCUCCAAGAAUAAAGCUGUAAGUCCUAUAACCACAAGGCCUUAGGGUGACUUGAUUCCUGAAGGCUACUCCAAUAUCAUUUCUUCUCAUUUUCCUCAUCACACCUUGCCUUUCUUUGAACGUGGUGACAUAUUCCUGCUGCAGAAUUUUGCAUUGGCUGUUUCCUCUAUCUGGUGCACUCUUUUUAUUGAAGGUGCACUCUUACCUAACCUAACUCAUGCUUUUGUGCAAAUGUCACCAUCUCAGACAGGCCUUUGCUAACCAUCCCAGCACCCCUUUAAUUUAUUAUUGCUUACUUUAAUUGUUUCUCUUUAUAGCUGUCAGCACCAACUGACAUUAUAUGUACUCGUUUGGCUGGUUUUUGUUAGUCUUUCCAUGACAAUGUAAGCGCCACUGGCUCAUCACUAACAUCAUGUGCCUGGCACACAGAAAGUACUCAAUUAAUAUUUAUAUGGUUGCUGAAUUAAUAUAUGGUGUUACCUUUAAAGAGAAGCGAAGUAAUCUGUAAAUGCUUUUACUAAAAUAAUCAUUUACCUGCAGACUAGGUAUUUUAAAAUAUAGUCUAUUUCCUGUUAUAGAUUGAUUUAUUUUUAAAGUAUUGUCUCCUUACUCUUUAAAGAUACAUUUUCCCUGUUUUCCAAAUUAGUUAUUUUUUCUUUUUGAUUAUUCAUUCCCAAGUUAGGAGAAUGUCUAAAACUUGAGAUGUACUGACUGACAAAUUAACUAACAAAGAACAGAAAUAUAUACCUCAAAUUGCACUGCUAUCAUCUAUGAUCAUUUAUUUAUUCAGCAGAUAUUAAUUGAGCGUUUACUAUAUCUCAGACACCGCUGUACAUAUUCAGAGAAUACAACAGCCAAAGAUUUCUCACCUCAAAGAACUUAUACAGAAAAGACACGCAAUAAAAUGUAAACAUGAUAAAUGAAUUAUUUUAUUUUAUUUUAUUUUAUUUUUGAGACAGAGUUUUGCACUUGUUGCCCAGGCUGGAGUGCAAUGGCGUGAUCUCGGCUCACCGCAACCUCUGCCUCCCGGGUUCAAGCGAUUCUCCUGCCUCAGCCUCCCAAGUAGCUGGGAUCAUAGGCAUGCGCCACUAUGCCCAGUUAAUUUUUUGUAUUUUUAGUAGAGAUGGGGUUUCACCAUGUUGGCCAGGUUGGUCUGAAACACCCGACCUCAGGUCAUCAGCCCACCUCGGCCUCCCAAAGUGCUGGGAUUACAGGCGGGAGCCACUGCACCUGACUGAUAAAUGAAUUAUUUAAUGUGUUUGAAGGAUACACUAGGGUGGUCAGGGGAGGCUUCACUAAGUUGACUUCUGGGCAGAGCUUGAAUUAGUGAGUGUGAAUGUGAAGCCAUGUGCAUACAUGUGGGAGGAGCACUCUAGACAAAGAGCAAGGCCAAGGCAGAGGUUCUGAGGUGGGAGCAUGCCAAGCUUGUUAUAGAGGGCAAGCUGCAGGCUGCUGAGCAAGGAGGAAGAGGGGUAGGAGAUGAAACCAAAGAAGAAUCAGGAAAGCAGGCCAUGUAGGCCCCUGGAAGCAUUAAAAGGACCUUGAUUUUCACAUAUGCCAAUAAUUGUUAAAAGGCAAUAAUAAUAGCUGUUGCCACCACAUUCGACUACAUAGUAUUCCCUGCUUGUUCCAUAUAAAGUUACUCCAUGUAAAUACAGACCCUGUGAUCACUCUUGUUGAUAAUGAUUUUAUUGUAUUAUUGUUUCUCUAUAAGGUGACUGCUGUUACAUUUUUCUUAAUUACACAGCAGUGAAACACUUCAUUGAUAAUAAAUACAAAGGAGAAAAAAUAAUUUAUAAAAUAAAAAUAGAGGUUUAAUAAAU